GAUGGUAGUGUAUUGGACUACCAUGGCGAUCACGGGUAACGGGGAAUUAGGGUUCGAUUCCGGAGAGGGAGCCUGAGAAAUGGCUACCACAUCUAAGGAAGGCAGCAGGCGCAUAAAUUACCCAAUCCUAAUUCAGGGAGGUAGUGACAAGAAAUAACAACUCGGACCUCACACGAGGUUACGAGAUUGCAAUGAGAACAAUUUAAACCUCUUAUCGAGUAACAAUUGGAGGGCAAGUCUGGUGCCAGCAGCCGCGGUAAUA
rnacentral:rRNA from 1 species